AUCGCUGUCAUUGCUGAAGUGGUUUUUAGUUUUGGUUUGGGAAUUCAUACAUGGUGGUACCAUUUUUCUGUGAUGUUUCAUUUCAGUCUAAAAUAAUUAUGUUGUUAUCUGUUCAAUGAAUGCAUUGGGUAUGUAGUUUCUUUCUUGUUAUGUGAUGGGCAAAAGAACCAGGUUACACGAGGCCUCUAGGCAUGUAGACCAAAGCACACCAGUGAAGACCGAAACCAAAGGAACCAAAGCGAAGGGCCUGAUAGAGGCCAAGAACAAAAUCCCAACGACAAGAUUAAGAAGCGUGGAUCAAUCACCAGAAAAAACCCCAUGCAUAAUUGUGAGCAACAAAAACCCAAAAAGGCGUUAAUUAGAUUCUCCAUUGGCCAUACAGGGAUUUGUUUUAUGUGUUUGCCCCUUCCUCAUGACAUUCGCCCCUUUAAUCCACUGUAUCCCCUGUUUGCUCCUUCCUGUUGCAUUCUACCAGCGAUAAUCUAUAUGAGAAUCACGGUCCUAAUCUGGAAAUGUGGGUGAAUUUACAAUAUUAUCACCGAUACAUAGAAGAGCUCACUUCCACUGCUACAAAUUAGGGCAUCAAAUGUAGACAGAUUGAUCGCACCAAACAGGAGCAAAGAAAGUGUUUAUGUAAUUGUCAGUGAAGUCAACAAAAUAAAUCCAAGGGAUGCAAAGGCUACCUAUGAGAGUGCUCUAGCUGAUUCUCUGGUACUGUUCUUUAUGAUUGCCAAGGAAUGAUUCAGUUAUGGGAAAGGGAAUUGUUGGAGAGUGCAGGGCCUUCCUUAGAUGAACAGAAAUGUCUAAUAGCUCAUCACUGUAGAACAGAUCUAAACCAUUGAAAGAAUAUUCUACACAACAAAAUUAACUAGAAAUUUUUGAGGAUUCUUAUUUCAACUAUAUGCAAGAAAAUUCUCUUACAGUCAAAACACAGAUCAAAAGAUUUUAUUUUUCUGGCUGAGUUAUCUUUCACAAAAAAAGGUUUCUAUUGAGAAAAACCUUUACUUGUAGUGGAAAUAUCCUUGUUGAGAGGGCUAUUCUAUGGCCGUGUUUUCCUGUCAUAUUGGCCGAUUUGAGUAAACUGUAAUUUCUUUAACUUUAUGGAAUGCAUAUUGACAUAAAUUCAUAUCUUGUGUUGAUGGGGCCAUUGGCAAAGUAGUUCUUAUGUUAUAUUUGACAAAAUUGUGAUCAGAGUUAUUUUGGUUUAGAUCAUGAAUUUUUUUUUGCCUUUCUUUGUACAUACAUAGCCGAGGACUUUUUUUUAAAAAGAUUUUAACUUUGUAAAAAUUUAAAAAUUAUAGCUUGUAAUGUAGUGAACUGUAUAGUGGUAUUAUUCCAUUGUAAACCUUGUGCUUAUAAAUGCAAAAAUAUUAAGUUGAAUUCAAAGUACAUUUUUAUUAGUAAUUUGAUGGAACCACCAUUGCAGUAAGAAUAAUUUUUUUUCAACAUAGUACUUUAAAUAGGCUCAAAUUUUUGAGAAUUUUGUUUUGGCAAAUCUGAAUUAAAACAAAGAGAGCCACUUUUUAUCAGUAAUAUUUACUUUGAUGAUAAGCAUAUUUGU